AUCAACUUCCGGUAGAUAGGCGAAGCGCUAGUACAAUAAAACUGUAACAAUACCGUUAGUUUACAGUAUACUAAAAUAAACUAAUAGUAUGUAGUAUAUACUCAUUAAGUAUGUAGUAUACAGUAUGUUAGUAUGGGUAUUCGAACACAGUUAUGUUCUCUUUUUUGCUUUCUUGAGUAAGACAGCUCCAAAAUGCAGGUGCUUCAGCCUAGCUCAGUGCUUUCUGUAGUGGUGGGGCAGCCAGCGGAAAAUACAAAGUGUAGGGGUCGGUAAUGUUCUCUAGUUGCGCCGUGAUUUGAUAGGACUGAUUAUGUCAACAUCAUACUUUCAAAAUCUUAGCUAGCAGUCAUCAUCAUGAAUCAAGUCGACAAUCUACUGGCAAACUCGGAACUGGGAAAUCUGACUUCAGUGAGUUCAAGACAACUGGGUACUCGGAAAAAGCACCAUAAAAAAGCACCAUAAAUCCAGAGAAUGUUUGAUGACAAAAUUUGCCCACGGAGGACCGCUGCACAACCUUCCUGUUCAACCACUUUGUCCAGCAACACAGUGAUCUUCUCAUCCUCCAGACGACGUUCCUUCAGAAACUUGAUGAAGACACCGUUGGUGAAUCUGCUAGAACUCAGCUCAUAAGCUUCUGCAUCUUGGCAGCUGCACAAUAGAAGAAUGGAACCACAUUGGGGAAUAUAUAAUUUCAUUUGUUCCUACAAAGUAACAUGCUACAAAUAGAAGUUUAGAUAUAUUUUUGAGUAAUCAGAUUACUUACAUUGCAUAUCCAAAAACAAUGUUAGCUGUGACCCUCAAUAGUAUGAAUAUUUAUAAAAAGAAAAAUUAAACAGUCACAAUAUUAAACAAUAUAAUAACAACAGUAUGGUGAGGGGCUUUAUAUCCCAUGUUGCUAACAGGGAGGGGACACUGAGUAUUAGUUAAAAUCAAAUGAACAUACUGUAGUAUAAGCAUCACGGCUAGCAUACCUCCUUGGCACAGACAUCAGUUCAACUUUGAUUUACAUUUGGUUGAGACAUCAGUUCAUCGAGUUUUGAUUUACAUUUGGUUGAGAUGUCAAGUAACAUCAAUUCAACGUGAAAUCCCCCCCAAAAUUCACCAUGUUAUUGGAUUUAGAUGACAUUUUGGGCGAAAAAAAGACUACAUUCCCUUACGUUGAUAUAAGGGCCGUCGUCGUAAUAAGACCAAGGUGCAGCGGAGGAUGUGUAUUCAUUUAAAAUAUUUACUAAAAAUGAACCACUACAAACAAAACACUUGAUAGCAACAACAGCAAACAGUCCUGUCUGGUCCCAAAUGAACAAAACAGAAAACACUAGACAGAAACAAUCACCCACAAAAACCCAAAGGAAAAACAGGCUACUUAUGUGUGACUCCCAAUCAGCAACAACAAACUACAGCUGUGCCUGAUUGGAAGCCACACGGCCAAAAUCAACGAAACAAACCAACCUAGAAAAAAGAACAUAGAACGCCCACCCAAUGUAACACCCUGGCCUAACCAAAAUAAAGAUCAAAAACCCCUCUCUAUGGCCAGGGCGUUACAGUUGAUGAUUUUGACCAAAUCCAAACAGUUUUCCACCUUUAUUCAAUGUCAUCACAUUGUCCCCUGUGAUAAAAAGCAGUGCUGAGUGAUAGACUGAAUCUAAAGGUUUUAAAGCAGAUGCUGCUGCACACAUGUAGAUUAUAUCACCAUAGUCAAGCACUGUGAGAAGCGUUGCUUGAACAAUCUUCCUUCUACUUUCCAAUGUGAGGCAGGAUUUAUUUCUACAUUACAAAUAAAUCCUAAUUCUCA